rnacentral:lncRNA from 1 species
CAGGUAUAUGCUAUCAUGCCUGACCAUCUUAAUCUUUCUUUUAAUUUGGCAUUUUGCUUUCACCUAGGAUCUCCAUUAAAGAAACAAAAAUCCUACUUCUCAGAUCUUCAUUGUAAUGGGACCACCAUUGUCACUGACAACUUUCACCAUGCUUUUAUACAUCUUUUUUAUUCAUUUCCUAAGUAUUAUUAUUUUGUAUGUGAGGAUUGUGCUAAAGAUUUGAGUUGUUCUUAUACUGGCCAUGAAUUUGUACUUUACUUGUCUAUAUAAUCCCUCUGGAGGAAAGUCAUGAAAAAGCUGGCUAAAGCUGUAUGUUUGGCUCCUGAUCUUGUAGCAAAGCUUCUAGAUUCAGAUGUUCUUGUAAAGAUACAUGUAGCUCCUUCAGUUUUCUUGCUGACAACUAUGUAUAUACUUUUUUCUUGGAUAAACUCUUAACUUUUGUUAGUCUCUUGAUUUGUCCUUUUCCUCUGUGUCUUUUGAUUGUUUUCUGGCUGCCUCUUUCUAUUUGGAUUCAUUCAGCUAUUGUGCAAAUCCUUCUGGUUCUUUUUUUCCUUUCCUUCAGAAAUCUCAUCAUUUUUGAUUGGCAUCAUCUACCUUUAAGAUGCUUCUAAGUCUACUGCCUUUACUUUAAAUUUAUUUUCUAUUCUACAGAGAG